GUCCAACGCAACAACGACCUGCCUCUCUCUCGUUGCACCUCACAAGGAGACUAACUGCGUGUUACGCGAAUGAGAAUGCUACGAUUUGAUAACUGUGAGACAAGACCUACAAGACGUGUGAGAUAAACUGGCGGCCAUAAGAGAGAUCUGGGAGAAGUGGGUGGAGCGUCUGCCAUACCUCUACAACCCUGGGCCUGAAGUAACAGUGGAUGAGCAACUGGUUCCAUUCAGAGGAACAUUUUUAUAUCUGUAGUGUCACUCUCCUUUCCAGUGGUAUAUGCCCAGCAAGCCAGCAAAGAAUGGCAUCAAGAUAUGGGUGGCCUGUGACGCGCAAUCCAGGUACACUUGGAAGAUGCAUGUCUACACAGGGAAGCCGACCAGUGGAGGCCCAGAGAAGAACCAAGGGAUGCAGGUUGUGCUUGAUGUGACAGAUGGAUUGAGGGGGCACAAUGUCACUUGUGACAAUUUCUUCACCUCUUAUGAACUCAGCCAGCAGCUCCUUAAGAUAAAGAUCACCAUGGUUGGCACAGUUAGAAAGAACAAGCCUAAGCUCCCCCUUCACAACAAGGGGGAGAGACCUUCUCAUCAAAGUUUGCCUUCACCCCCACCAAUCUAGUUUCUUACCUCCCAAAGAGGAACAAGAAUGUGGUCUUCCUUAGCACACUGCACAAACGGCUGAGGUCAGUGAUCGUGAGUACAGGAAGCCAGCCAUCAUCCUGGACUACAACCACAACAAAGGAGGUGUGGACAACCUGGACAAGGUGAUUGGAACUUACAGCUGCAGGAGGAUGACUGCCCGCUGGCCCCUGGUCAUCUUCUAUAACGUCAUUGAUGUGUCCUCAUACAAUGCCUUUGUGAUAUGGAACAAGACCAACCCUACCUGGAUGCCUGAUAAGAGGAACAAGAGGGUGUUCCUGAAGCAGCUGGGCACGGCACUGAAAAACCCACACAUUCAAAGAAGGGAGCGCCUCCCUCGCACAGCAGACUUUGCAGCGCUUGUGAAAGCUGUUCAGGGGGUUGAAUCUUAUGCUGGUCCACCUGAGGCUGCAGCUGGGGCAGGCAAGAGGAGAUGCCAAUUCUGCCCCCCAAAGGACUGUAAAACAAAUACUAUGUGCUGCAGAAAUACAUCUGUCCAUGCACGCACUUACUGUCCUACAUGUGCUAAUUAGAGUUGAUUGAUUUAUGUUCUUCAUGUUUGUUUUGUAUCUUAUUCUCGUUUAUACAGCUUGUGGGUGGGGGCAAUGGUUAAAAUAACGGAAGACUAGUAUUUUGUAGUUGAAUUCCUCAUUGUACAGUAUAUAUAUAUAUCACUAUGUUGGCAACAAAGUUCCAAGGCUGUUGUUUCCCUUCAAUAAAAUGCUUUCAAAACGA